rnacentral:lncRNA from 1 species
CAUGGGAGGUGGGUCACUUGUAUUAAGCUGUUGGUGAUGGAGUGGUAUUUCGGGCAACCUGGAGAACUCUGAAAGGAUCCUGGAUGUGUACAGGGGAGUUUUUCAAUCCUUUGAUUGUUUUUCUAGUUUUGUUGGAUUCUUCUGUGAAUGAUUGUGUUGAUGUAUAGGGGCCCUGCUUUUAUUUUUGUUCCUAGUUUCCUCUGUGGGUGUGUGGCUAAGGUUGUGCUAACCUUACUGCUGGUUGGGGAGUGUAAUGUGUUGUUUUUG